GAAAGGCGAACAGCGAUCCAAUGAUCCUCAAAUAAGUGAGGCAGAAGCUCAAGAAUGGGCGGCUGGUGGUGCCGAAAGUGAGUUACAAAUAUAUGAAGUAUUAACUAAUGAGAUUGUACGCGCGGCAAUGUGUGAGGACGAUGAGCAAGAUAAGAACAAUAACGUUGAAGUUCUCGCCUCCAAAAAAGUUGGUAAUUCAUAGGCAGUAGGAGCAUUUAAUCACUGCUUGGGCUAAAUGGGCUGAAGACAACGAAUUUGGUAACCACGAACUCAUGUUUCCCCAAAUUCUUAGAGACCGGACUUUUAAAAUGAAGUGCAAAAAUUAUAAACA
rnacentral:misc_RNA from 1 species